AUUGAACGCUGGCGGCAGGCCUAACACAUGCAAGUCGAACGAGCGGCGGACGGGUGAGUAAUGUCUGGGAAACUGCCCGAUAGAGGGGGAUAACUACUGGAAACGGUAGCUAAUUCCGCAUACCAUCAGAUGCGCCCAGAGGGGAUUAGCUUGUAGGUGGGGUAACGGCUCACCAAGGCGACGAUCCCUCGCUGGUCUGAGAGGAUGACCAGCCACACUGGGACUGAGACACGGCCCAGACUCCUACGUGAGGCAGCAGUGGGGAAUAUUGCACAAUGGGCGCAAGCCUGAUGCAGCAAUGCCGCGUGUAUGAAGAAGGCCUUCGGGUUUUAAAGUACUUUCAGCGGGGAUGCGUUACCCGCAGAAGAAGCACCGGCUAACUCCGUGCCAGCAGCCGCGGUAAUUC
rnacentral:rRNA from 1 species